AGCAGCCGCGGUAAUUCCAGCUCCAAUAGCGUAUAUUAAAGUUGUUGCAGUUAAAAAGCUCGUAGUUGAAUUUCGGGGUCAGUAGGCUGGUCGUGCCACAGGUAUGAACUGGUCUCACUGAUUCCUCCUUCCUGAUGAACCGUAAUGCCAUUAAUUUGGUGUUGCGGGGAGACUGGACUGUUACUUUGAAAAAUUAGGGUGUUUAAAGCAGGCUCGCGCUUGAAUACAUUAGCAUGGAAUAAUGAAAUAGGACGUUCGAUCCUAUUUUGUUGGUUUCUAGGAUUGACGUAAUGAUUAAUAGGGAUAGUUGGGGGCACUAGUAUUCAAUUGUCAGAGGUGAAAUUCUUGGAUUUAUUGAAGACUAACUACUGCGAAAGCAUUUGCCAAGGAUGUUUUCAUUAAUCAAGAACGAAAGUUAGGGGAUCGAAGACGAUCAGAUACCGUCGUAGUCUUGACCAUAAACUAUGCCGACUAGGGAUCGGAUGAUGUUAUUUUAAUGACUCAUUCGGC
rnacentral:sRNA from 1 species